rnacentral:rRNA from 1 species
AAACGAUUGAAGCCAGUCGUACUGACGGGUAAUCAACCUUUAGGGUGCGAUUUUGUGGGUUUUGAGGAGCUUCACGGCCCUCAUGGUCUGCAUAUUUGUGCCAUUUGGGUGUACUUACCUGGCAGUAGGUUAACAUCAAUUUUGAUCGUCAUAAAAUGAUGGGAGGAAUGUAGCUU